rnacentral:rRNA from 1 species
GACGAACGCUGGCGGCGUGCCUAAUACAUGCAAGUUGAGCGCUGAAGGUUGGUACUUGUCCCGACUGGAUGAGCAGCGAACGGGUGAGUAACGCGUGGGGAAUCUGCCUUUGAGCGGGGGACAACAUUUGGAAACGAAUGCUAAUACCGCAUAAAAACUUUAAACACAAGUUUUAAGUUUGAAAGAUGCAAUUGCAUCACUCAAAGAUGAUCCCGCGUUGUAUUAGCUAGUUGGUGAGGUAAAGGCUCACCAAGGCGAUGCUACAUAGCCGACCUGAGAGGGUGAUCGGCCAAAUUGGGACUGAGACACGGCCCAAACUCCUACGGGAGGAAGCAGGAGGGAAUCGUCGGCAAGGGACGAAAGUCUGACCGAGCAACGCCGCGGGAGUGAAGAAGGGUGUCGGAUCGUAAAACUCUGUUGGUAGAGAAGAACGUUGGUGAGAGUGGAAAGCUCAUCAAGUGACGGUAACUACCCAGAAAGGGACGGCUAACUACGUG